UGAUGCGAUCAUACCAAGGCUACUACACCAGAUCCCAUCAGAACUCUGAAGUUAAGCGCCUUUGGGCCGGAAUAGUACUGGGAUGGGUGACCU
rnacentral:rRNA from 1 species